rnacentral:pre_miRNA from 8 species
UGUUUGUCUCCUGUGUCCCGUCAGUGGUUUUACCCUAUGGUAGGUUACGUCAUGCUGUUCUACCACAGGGUAGAACCACGGACGGGAUGUCUGGAGGUG